AUCCAGUUUUUGAUCAUAUAAGGUCAGUGUCAGGAUUCCGGCAGUUACCCCCAAUUAAAUCAUGAGUCUUGAGCCAAACUUCCAAAACUUCAAAAGGAUUUAUUGGGAGUUAACAUAUUCGGCACUGCCUUGGUGUAGUCGACUCUGAGACACAUGGUUCAUUGUUACCCUUGACCCUGGUUCUCCCCCACCCCCUGGGUGUAUCAUAAUUC